rnacentral:tRNA from 2 species
GGCCCCAUCGUCUAACGGUUAGGACGCCCGCCUUUCACGCAGGAAAUCGGGGUUCGAUUCCCCGUGGGGUCACGA